rnacentral:rRNA from 1 species
UGGGGAAUAUUGCACAAUGGGCGGAAGCCUGAUGCAGCGACGCCGCUUGGGGGAUGAAGGCCUUCGGGUUGUAAACUCCUUUCGACAGGGACGAAGCUUUUGUGACGGUACCUGUAUAAGAAGCACCGGCUAACUACGUGCCAGCAGCCGCGGUAAUACGUAGGGUGCGAGCGUUGUCCGGAAUUACUGGGCGUAAAGAGCUCGUAGGUGGUUUGUCGCGUCGUCUGUGAAAUUCCGGGGCUUAACUCCGGGCGUGCAGGCGAUACGGGCUGACUUAAGUGCUGUAGGGGAGACUGGAAUUCCUGGUGUAGCGGUGAAAUGCGCAGAUAUCAGGAGGAACACCGAUGGCGAAGGCAGGUCUCUGGGCAGUAACUGACGCUGAGGAGCGAAAGCAUGGGUAGCGAACAGG